ensembl:lncRNA
GCCAGCAAGAAUCAGCUGAUGCAAUUCCAGCAAGCUUUCAGUCACAGCAUCAAGGAAGGAUAAAGAUUCAGUCUAGGAACAGAGAGACAGCCGUCCCUUCUGUCACUACGAAGCCACUCUGGGGAAUGGAAGCAGCUGCAGCUGUGGAAGGAGGGUGACUACAUCAGGAGUGGCUGCACAUUCAGACACGUGGAAAAUGAUGCAGAUGGCAGUUCUGCAUUUCAUCAAGGAGCUGCUCAGCACUGAUGCUCAGAGCUGUUCAGCAUGGGAUGUGGCAGGGCACAUCUUCAGCGAGUUCAGCCGGCUCUCUGACAGACUGGUGGUGGAAGGCUUUUUUGCUUUUGAAAUUGAGGAGGAAGGAGCUCUUCGAGCCCUGUGCAUGGACAUCCUGGGCCCACUGGAUGUCUCUGUGAGAGGGAUGACCAAACUCUCGUGGCCAAGGCUGCUGCAGUACAUGGUGCCCGCUGAGUACAGUGGCAUGCUUAUUCCCCUCUCCCACUGCCUCUGAAGUCUGGCUGAGAGAUGAGAGAGAGGAGGACAACAAGAAUAAGAGGACUCCAAUGUCACCAGCUCUGAGCCCAGCUGCCAGCUCCACCAGCCCUGCUGGCUUGACCGCUGGUGAGUAGCAGCGCCCUGGGGAAGGUGCCCUGGGCAAAGCCAUUGUCUGCCUGCUGCUGGCAGGAGCAGCUCCACACUUCCUUCCUGCUGAGAGAAGCUGAAAGUGUCACUGGAAUACAUGGAGGACCAGGCCUGGACUGUGGCUCUGAGCCAGCAGCUCAGCGAGCAGCUUGGCACCUGUCCUCACAGCUCCUGGGAGAAUGUUGGCUCCCUGCUUGGCUCUUCCCUGAUUGCAGAGCCAUGGUGCACCCAGCUCCAUGGCUGGGACUGGAGGCACUCUUCUGCCCAUGAUGGCUCUUGUCACCGCUUCCCCUUCUUUUGCCACCAAAAGGCUCUUCCCUCCAUGCAGCUCAGAGGCUGGCUACAACCCAGCACUGUGGCCGGCCUCAGCUGCUCCCUGGGGUGCUAGGGUCCAUCUUGGCCUGUCCUCCUGACACAUCGGGCCAUUACCACAUCUCGGGCUCAGCCUCCUUUCUUUCAGCUCUUCUUGUACAAUGCUCUUCGGUCAGUGCUGGCAGCUUGUCAGGGCUCAGCCAUGUCCAAGAGCAGCUUCACAGAUAUCUCCAGGGAACAAACCAUGUGGAGCUGUUUGAGGCCCAGGUGAGGUUUCCUCUUUUCUCCAUGCUUUCCUAGGGCAGAGGGAGGGCUUCUCCUGGCCCUGCUGUAGACCUAUGUGAUCCCCCAUUGCUGUGGUUUCCCUCAGGCAGUGCCCUGCCUGGCUGUUGCCACUGGCCACAACUGAAUGUCUUGGAUGCAGCUUUCUUUCCCCAGUUCUCUUUGCUUGUAGCGAAUGAUUUUGGUUGUGUCCUUCACUGCUGAGAGCCACUUCCACCUG